rnacentral:tRNA from 1 species
GCGAGAGUGGCGGAAUAGGCAGACGCGCACGUUUGAGGGGCGUGUGUUUAGCGACGUACGGGUUCAAGUCCCGUCUCUCGCACCA